UCCCGGGGCGGGGCGCGGCGGGAACGCGCGGGGCAGUACAGCGCCACCUGGCCGUUGCGCUGGGCGUUGAGGAGGCAGGGGCGACAGGGAAACCUGCUCCCUGCAGUGAUCCAGUGGGUUCAGAUGAGCAUAACCAAAGAUUUCCAGAACUUCCCUGGAGCAGCUGAGGAACUUUACAAGGAAAACGGACAACCCUUCGCUAUAGAUGCUGCUUCUGUGAGGCUGCCCGUGACUCACAAGCCUGUCCAGGCAUCCCUCUUCCGCAAAGCCCCCGUGCAUUCGUGAUUCGCUGUGGUUUAGAGAGAAUUAGAUCCCGUCUCUCCGGGGUGUCUUUCAGCCCCAGUCUGCCACAUUACUUGUCCCCAAGUACUCAUCACCUGUUCGCAAAAAACCUCGGUCACCCUAAGCUCACCCCAAUAAUUCCCACCUUUUACCUCUUUUAAUGCAAAUAACAUCCAAGAUGGAGGAGAAGUGGGGUGAAUACAGACUUAUCAACUAAGCUAAAGAACCCUGCCAUGGUUUGUGGAAUGCCAGCCCCUUUCCCGUAGGGUAGGGGAAGGUUUUGAGGUCGGGCCGGCUCUCUUGGAUAGCCUCCUGGACUUUGAUAAUCCUGUGUGCAAAGGAUGCCUAAGGAUGGGUGGACUGCUGAGCUCCAGAUGCCCGGGGCAGCAUUACUCCAACUGUCCCAUACCGGGCUGGGUGGGUUUGCUGUGGUCUCUGUCCAGAGCGAAGUUGUUUUCUUUUUCGGUUUUGCUUCUGAGGACACAAGGCACGGCACAGCGAAUGCCCGGGGUCGUCUGGGACACUCGGAAAGGCUCCAUGCUGGGGCGGGGGUGUCCAGAAGUGCCAAGGAGAACCCAGCCAAGCCUAGGUAACUGCUGGAUGUUGGAUGCCAGGAACAGCCCUCAGGACCAAGCAGACACCCUGUAACUGCUGAGCAGAUGGAGCCAGAGUCCUGCAAACUGUGCCUUGUCCUCCACUAUCUCCAGGGAAGACAGCAAGCCUCAACCAGAAGGUCCCCAAGACUGUGCUGCCAGGAGUACCACUGUGAGCAUCACCCCGUUGUGGUUGCUCUUGGCCGCUAAUCCCGCACCAUGUUCCUAGUAAAUGAAAGACCAGA